AAGAUCAUUGCAAUAUAUGCAUGGACAGUCUUCAUCAUCAUCAUCAUCAUGAGAGUUAUCAGGAAAAUUUUCUUCUUCGAGUAACUUUUAAUAAUGUUUCGUCUCCUUUUCUCUGGCAGAGCUUUGGACUCAUUUUUGGAUUUAACUGCCUUCAUAUUAGGAGUAGAAGUUAAAACUAAAGAGGUUUGUCGAGUCACGUGAUUCGUUGCAAGUUUUUUGUUAUGUGAAAGAUAAUAAAUUUUUAAAUAAUAUGUAGAAAGGAAAUAAAGUUUUAUAAUAAAAUUUCUUUUAAACAAUAAUGAAAGACUUUUUUGGAAGCCAUUUUUUAUAAUUAAUAAAACGUUAAGAGGUUAAGGUAAGUUCCUUGACUAAGCUCUUAUGGACUAAAUGACAUACCUAUGUAAUUAUGUGCAUUGUCUAUGUAUGUCGUUUUGUUCAUAUUACGUUAUAAAAAAACAAAAUUACAGUAUAAAAUAAAUACAAAGAUGUUAUUUUUAAUGAAAAAACUUAUUUAGGUGCAACAACAAAUUUUUGGGGGGAUUGAAAUAAAUGCUACAGAAAUAGAUAAAAUAGUGAAAAACUUACCAUCUAUACAAAAAAAACUUGUUAUAAGGAAAAAAACUCGUAACGUAUCAACGCUUGUCUUCGGCCAUGACACCCGGGCGAAUGAGAGGAGUGCGUUCACGUUUUGACAGAUUAGUAAAAGCCACUCGGAUAACGUGGUGUCGUGGUCAGUUGCGCGCUUGAGACCGCCAAAUUCGAAUUAUGUUGCUUGUGUCAUUUUGUACCUAUUUCCCCUAUAUCUAUGCGAUUUUAUACAUUUUAUAUGUCGUUAAAUAAAGCAACAUCUACAAUAAUACAUUCUACAAUAUUUAUUCAAAUUUAUAUUCUAAAAGAGAAUUUUAAAAAUGGAUGUAUAUUACUUUGUCACUUUUCUCCACUUUUUGUUUUAGGAGUUAAUCGAUUUGAAAAGUAAAAAGAGUACAUAUAACACAAGUGUUUCGCAUAAAAAUAAAACAGCCAAAGUGAUGCGUGUUGGUUAAAAUAUUCCUACGUCUUCUGCAUGUCCUGAAAUCACCAUACAAUGUUUAGUUGCAUUUGGACUGCUAAAUAACGAUUAAAACUAAUCAAAGUUAUUAAACAGCUCUAUCCAUUGUUAAAUUUAAUUACGAUUAACAUUUAAAGUCAAUACUGUUACGAAGCUUUUUAUAACGAAACAAUACUGUAAAUUCGACAAUAAUUUUCCGUACAUUAUUUACAGCAUACCGCGUAUUUAAGAUUUAUUUGCGAUAAAUGAAUCGGAUUACAGUAUUCUGCAAUGACAAACAACACAUCCAUUUCUCAAAAUACCUUCUGUGUAAAUAUAGCGAUAGACUAAAAUCCAUGCUACGUUUUUAUUUAAACACAUCAGUCUUCCUUUACUUACCAUACUCGUUGGAUGUUUUGCAACAAAUUAGACAAUAUCUGAAAGAAAGACAAGAAACCAUAAAAUCAAUGCAAAAUGCGAUGGACGUGUUCUGCGUAAGCAAUCGAUUAGGCCUAGGUGAUUUAAGAAAAGUAUGUCGAGAUUUUAUGACUGAUACGCCAAGAAUUAAGAACGUGUGUUAUGUACAUGACUUAGCAUGCCAGGAGAACGAUAGCAGAUUAUAAUAUUUAUGCUGGAAUAUAUUUAAUUCGAAAUGGCAAGAAAUUCUCUCAUCGAACGAAUGGCUGAACUGUGAAGCAACAACCAUGGAUAGACUCGUUCGUAGGCCAAUAAAUUCAUUUAUUGAGGAAACAGACAUCUUCACAAUAGUUUUAAAAUAGGCCAAGAAAAGAAUUAAUAAUGAAAAAUCUCUAAGGCAAGUCAUGAAACCAUUCCUUCCGUACAUACGAUUUCUGACAAUGCCAGAAUGGUUUCUGGAAUCUCAAGUGUUCGUUGAACUGAUCUUAAUGGACGUAGAGAGAGAUGCAAUAAGAUGUUACUUGCAAAAUAAAGAUUUCGACGAGACAUGGUUUAUUCCAGAGAGUGUUUGUGACAUUACAUGUCCUAGAAAACACGAAUUACUCUCGUCCUGGUUCUCUUAUGUGAAUCGAAGUGCAUACUUUAUUAAGAAAGUAAGGAAAAUGAACACAAAUAUUCGAUUUAUAUGCGAAAUAGUUGCUAAGGAAGAUUGUUUUAUCACCAAAUUGUAUCUUCCUAUAAGACAUUGGAUUGAAGAAGGUAUAACUGUAAUCUUGAAUUUUUCUGCUGACUUGAAGUUACGGACAAAAUAUUGUUUGAGAACAGCAUGUAAUUUAUUGAGUAUGAACGGAUGUAUUUUAUUGAGUGAUAGUAUUCUUCGGAUUAGAAAGUUUACAUGUUAUCGAUUGAUUGCUAAAAUUGCAGAGACACAUGUCAUUGCAGGAAAUUACAUAACAAUCAGUCCCUCGGCAAAUUACUACAAUCCGUUCGAAGGAAUUCAAUGUCUGAAAGAUUUGCAGUUUGGAUUGAAAUUGAGAGAUGAAUUUGAGUACUUCUACUUUGAUGUUAUGCCCUACUUUUAAAUACGGAUACACAAAUUAAUUUUCCUCUAUAUUAUAUAAUGUUAAUCUCGUAAAAUUUAAAAAUUUAUGUGUUUUAAUUUCGAAUAAUUAAAUUUAACUUUUACUGUCGAAGUUUUUUAAGUUAUUUGUCAAGGCUACACGUGAAUGCGCCACGCCAGGGUGACAACACUCUGUCUUUAAAGACACAGAAAUCGCGAUAGUAAACGUUCACGCGCGAGCGGUCACGUUCGUAGGCGGUCGGAUCCGGGAUGAAGGAGGUUGAAGAGACUUAAAGAAGUUCACCCAGUCAAGGAUCAAUAUAAACAUAAUUACCCGUUUGUAUUAUAAAAUACUAUUUACAGAGAAAAAUCAUACAUGUUAUUUAGGAUUUAUAAGGGAUUUUUUUUACAUUAUAACUAUUGGCUAUCGUUUCUGUAUAUUAUAACUAAGAGCUAUUCUAAUUAUCUGCGUGAGUCCUAGUCCCGAGAGAGAAAGAGUUUACAUAGAUUUGCGGGUAGGUAAAUACCUUGGCAGAAGGCCCGAUCAACUAUAUAUAUAUACAGGGCCCGCUCUAGCGGUUACGUCGCCUCGGACAAAAAGACAAAUUUCCGCCCCUUUAGAAUAUAUAUUUAAAUAAAGAUACAUA
rnacentral:lncRNA from 1 species